rnacentral:rRNA from 1 species
GAGAUAAAGCGGAGGUAUUCGGGGAGGACAGGUGGUGCAUGGUUGUCGUCAGCUCGUGUCGUGAGAUGUGGGUUAAGUCCCGCAACGAGCGCAACCCCUAUUGCUAGUUACCAUCAUUAAGUUGGGGACUCUAGCGAGACUGCCAGUGAUAAACUGGAGGAAGGUGGGGAUGACGUCAAAUCAUCAUGCCCCUUAUGACCUGGGCUACAAACGUGAUACAAUGGCUGGAACAAAGGGAUGCGAAGCAGUGAUGUGGAGCGAAACCCAUAAAAACAGUCUCAGUUCGGAUUGAAGUCUGCAACUCGACUUCAUGAAGUCGGAAUCGCUAGUAAUCGCGGAUCAGAACGCCGCGGUGAAUACGUUCUCGGGGUUU